GAUUAUGGCUCAGGAUGAACGCUAGCGACAGGCUUAACACAUGCAAGUCGAGGGGCAGCAUAAAAGUAGCAAUACUUGGUGGCGACCGGCGCACGGGUGAGUAACGCGUAUGCAACCUACCUAUCAGAGGGGAAUAACCCGGCGAAAGUCGGACUAAUACCGCAUAAAACAGGGACACCGCAUGGUGAUAUUUGUUAAAGAAAUUCGCUGAUAGAUGGGCAUGCGUUCCAUUAGGUAGUUGGUGAGGUAACGGCUCACCAAGCCGACGAUGGAUAGGGGAACUGAGAGGUUGGUCCCCCACACUGGUACUGAGACACGGACCAGACUCCUACGGGAGGCAGCAGUGAGGAAUAUUGGUCAAUGGGCGAGAGCCUGAACCAGCCAAGUCGCGUGAAGGAAAGAAGGAUCUAUGGUUCGUAAACUUCUUUUGCAGGGGAAUAAAGUGCAGGACGUGUCCUGUUUUGUAUGUACCCUGAGAAUAAGGAUCGGCUAACUCCGUGCCAGCAGCAGC
rnacentral:rRNA from 1 species